GAUGAACGCUGGCGGCGUGCCUAAUACAUGCAAGUCGAGCGAACAGACGAGGAGCUUGCUCCUCUGACGUUAGCGGCGGACGGGUGAGUAACACGUGGAUAACCUACCUAUAAUACUGGGAUAACAUCGGGAAACCGGAUCUAAUACCGGAUAAUAUAUUGAACCGCAUGGUUCAAUAGUGAAAGACGGUUUUGCUGUCUCUUAUAGAUGGAUCCGCGCCGCAUUAGCUAGUUGGUAAGGUAACGGCUUACCAAGGCAACGAUGCGUAGCCGACCUGAGAGGGUGAUCAGCCACACUGGAACUGAGACACGGUCCAGACUCCUACGGGAGGCAGCAGUGGGGAAUCUUCCGCAAUGGGCGAAAGCCUGACGGAGCAACGCCGCGUGAGUGAUGAAGGUCUUCGGAUCGUAAAACUCUGUUAUUAGGGAAGAACAAAUGUGUAAGUAACUAUCGCCGUCUUGACGGUACCUAAUCAGAAAGCCACGGCUAACUACGUG
rnacentral:rRNA from 1 species